rnacentral:lncRNA from 1 species
AUUCAUUUAGUUGUUUGGACUGUAAUGAAAGAAUGCAGUCCAACUGGUUAGGUUAUUUAAUCAGGUUAUUUCCUGGUUAUUUCCCAGCAAUGUGGACAACACUCUAUUGUCUGAUUUGCAUGCCCAGAUGCUGAUGACACAUUCACUGGCAAGAAUGCAUUCCUAGAACAUAGAGAGGACUAAAAAACCACCUCACCAGUCCCUCCACUGUAGUUUCUCCUCCUCCUUGUCUCGCUUCAUUACUUGAAUUUGUCUUAGAAAAUGAAGGGGGAAGGAAUGCAUUUAAUGUAAGUGCACAAUGAAACAAACCAGUCUGUUUAGGUGAGUAGUCAGUACAGUGCGAGGUGUAUCAGUACAAAAGCUGUACCUGUACAUUACUCCUUCACACUACUGGAGAACAUGAGGACCCUGCUACUGACAACCGUGUUGCUGGUGCUGCUCUGUAGCACUCAAGAAUUUCUCCACAGUGCUUACACUCAGCUGUUACACCUGUGAGGAGGAUGACGCUGACUGCAAGCAAGUGACAGAAUGUCCACCAUCGAGCAUGUACUGCAGAACUGUGGUGACUGCGGACACAGUGACUCGUACCUGCGAGGAGAUGUGUGUUUCGGGUGUCAACGCCUACUGUUGCCAGGGUGACCUGUGUGAGAACUGACAUGAUCCACGGAGAACCAUCGCCACUGACUACACACGGUCACCUUCUGUUUAGAUACAGUUGAAUGUUGUGUGGGAAAUACUUUGGAAUAUGGGUUACAUUAUAACCUUUCAAUUAAUUACAUUUACAUUUUAGUAAUUUAGCAGACACUCUUAUCCAGAGCGACUUAGUUAGUGCAUUCAUCUCAAGAUAGCUAGGUGAGACAACCUAUAUCACAGUCAUAGUAAGUUCAUUUUUCCUCAAUAAAGAUGUAAUCAUUGUUUGUGAUAAUCUUUAAAAAAAGGCAAUCUUAUACUUUCUGUCGUGCAAAAAAAUCUAGCCCUUUGAAUGACUCUCAACUGUUUCUGCUGUCCUUCAAAGCUUGACUUAAUGCCAUAAAACAUGGAGGUUUUACAGUAAUGAGGAUUUCCAAUGCCUGAGCUGUGAUUCUAGUGUAGCCUCUCCUAGUCUCCUCUCUCUCCGGAUGCUCCUGAGUGGGUCAUGCUGGCUCAUGGCCUCCUGCUGGGAUGUGGGUCGCCGACGGGGACAAUGCUGGCCUGUUGUGGCCGUAUGCAUCUGGGCAUGCAGGAUUAUCUAAAUCCAUCUGAUGAGGGUACCACUCACCUGGCAACUCAAUCCCACUCUCCUCUGAAAAAAGUAUGCUUGAUCAUGGUGUAGAUUGCUUUGUUUUCGAGAGAUUAAAAACCAAGAAAAUGACUGUUUUAGAGUGAGAAAAGAGGAAGACUUUACACAUAUAAAAGAAUCUUAUUCUGCAUAACUGUAGAUAAGGCAAAUGUUUAAAUGUCAUCACUCAGCACAGGUCAGUGCCCGUUCGGCACAGACGUUAAUUCAACGUCUACUCCAUGUUGGUUCAACGUAAUUUCAUUGAAAUGACGUGGAAACAACGUUGAUUCAACCAGUGUGUGCCCAGUGUGUGGUCUGAGGCUGGUCAUCUAAAUCAAACAGGCAAAUAUGUGUCACAUCUAGAUAUGUAUUUAUCUUCCAUUAUUUCCUUUUCCAUUAGAGCUCUAAAUCUGAGGAUUUGUGGGUGUUAAAAAUAACCCUGGAGUGUUAGAGAGCCAACCUUCACUCCUUUACACAUCAUGUGAAAGGUGUUUCAUUCAAACCUCUUAAAGGGCUCAGCAUAACACACACAUUCCAUGAACAAAAGAGAACAUGUUAUCCCAGGAAACCUCUGAUCUUACAAGGUACUUUUAUAGUUGCCCAGAAAAGGCAGAAACGGAUUUACAGUUUACAGAAACAGCACUCAAACUGAUUAGUGCAUGAAAACAAUACGUUAGGAUAUGAAUGUCAUGAAUGGCAUGUUUGGCAUUCAACCAAAUUAACGACAUCUAAUACAAAUGAAUUUUUGAAUGAAGCAGUGAUUAAAUUAUUUGUUCCUUUACCCUUUGUGAUCCAACAACUACAUCACAUGCUGACAUUUAGCGGCCUGGUAUGCAGCUCCGUAUUAUGGUUUUAAUCUCUAUUUUGAAUCAUAAGAGACACUGUUAUUAAGCAGGUUUUAUGAUAAACCCAGUUGCAUAACUUACAGUGAUGAACAAAAGCCACUAGAAUCAGAAUAACCUUUAUUUUAACAGGGAAGACAUAUUGAGACCAAGGUUUCUUUUACAAAUGCUGUAUAUACAACAUACAGUGCAUUCAGAAAGCAUUCAGACCCCUCAACUUUUUCCAAAAUUUUUUACGUUACAGCCGUAUUCUAAAAUUUAUUCAAUAGUUUUUUCCCCCUCAUCAAUCUACACACACAGACCAUAAUGACAAAGCAAAAAACGUUUUUUAUUUUUUUUAAACCGGAAAUAUCAAAUUUACAUAAAUAUUCAGACCUUUUACUCAGUACUUUGUUGAAGCACCUUUGGCAGCGAUUACAGCCUCAAGUCUUCUUGGGUGGCUGGGCCACUCAAGGACAUUCAGAGACUUGUCCCGAAGCCACUCCUGCAUUGUCUUGGCUGUGUGCUUAGGAUCAUUGUCGUGUCGGAAGGUGAACCUUCGCCCCAGUCUGAGGUCCUGAGCGCUCUGGAGCAGGUUUUCAUCAAGGAUCUUUCUGUACUUUGCUCCGCUCAUCUUUCCCUCGAUCCUGACUAGUCUCCCAGUCCCUGCUACUGAAAAACAUCCCCACAGCCUGAUGCUGACACCACCGUGCUUUCCUCCAGACUUGACGCUUGGCAUUCAGUCCAAAGAGUUCAAUCUUGGUUUCAUCAGACCAAAGAAUUUUGUUUCUCGUGGUCUGAGAGUCUUCAGGUGCCUUUUGGUGAACUCCAAGUGGUCUGUCAUGUGCCUUUUACUGAGGAGUGGCUUCCGUCUGGCCACUGUACCAUAAAGGCCUGAUUGGUUGAGUGCUGCAGAGAUGGUUGCAGAGAAGGUUCUCCCAUCUCCACAGAGGAACUCUACAGCUUUGUCAUAGUGACCAUCGGGUUCUUGGUCACCUCCAUGACCAAGGCCCUUCUCUCCCGAUUGCUCAUUUUGGCCGGGCGGCCAGCUCUAGGAAGAGUCUUGGUGGUUCCAAACUUCUUCCAUUUAAGAAUGAUGGAGGCCACUGUGUUAUUGGGGAUCUUCAAUGCUGCAGACAUUUUUUUGGUACCCUUCCCCAGAUCUGUGCCUCGACACAAUCCUGUCUCGGAGCUCUACGGACAAUUCCUUCGACCUCAUGGCUUGGUUUUUGCUCUGGCAUGCACUGUUAACUGUGGGACCUUAUAUAGACAGGUGUGUGCCUUUCCAAAUCAUGACCAAUCAAUUGAAUUUACCACAGGUGGACUCCAAUCAAGUUGUAGAAACAUCUCAAGGAUGAUCAAUGGAUGAGGUCAACUUCGAGUCUCAUAGCAAAGGGUAUGAAAAUAAGAUAUUUCAGUUUUUUAUUUUCUAAAAACCAGUUUUCGCUUUGUCAUUAUGAGGUGUUGUGUUUAGAUUGCUGAAAAGAAAUGUGGAAAAAGUCAAGGGCUCUGAAUACUUUCCUAAGGCGCUAUAAAUAUACACAUUAAGGUUGGAGGAAAUGACUGGGGGUAAAUAAGCUGUUAGUUGUUAAGGCCCCCUGCUGUGUUGAGUGGUGGGUUUUUGGGAGAG